GCUCCCGGAUGUUAGCGGCGGACGGGUGAGUAACACGUGGGUAACCUGCCUGUAAGACUGGGAUAACUCCGGGAAACCGGAGCUAAUACCGGAUAGUUCCUUGAACCGCAUGGUUCAAGGAUGAAAGACGGUUUCGGCUGUCACUUACAGAUGGACCCGCGGCGCAUUAGCUAGUUGGUGAGGUAACGGCUCACCAAGGCGACGAUGCGUAGCCGACCUGAGAGGGUGAUCGGCCACACUGGGACUGAGACACGGCCCAGACUCCUACGGGAGGCAGCAGUAGGGAAUCUUCCGCAAUGGACGAAAGUCUGACGGAGCAACGCCGCGUGAGUGAUGAAGGUUUUCGGAUCGUAAAGCUCUGUUGUUAGGGAAGAACAAGUGCAAGAGUAACUGCUUGCACCUUGACGGUACCUAACCAGAAAGCCACGGCUAACUACGUGCCAGCAGCCGCGGUAAUACGUAGGUGGCAAGCGUUGUCCGGAAUUAUUGGGCGUAAAGGGCUCGCAGGCGGUUUCUUAAGUCUGAUGUGAAA
rnacentral:rRNA from 1 species